AGCUCUGUAGUGAUUUUACGUCAAAUUGCAAGUUUGAAGAUGAGCCAUAAAGGCU
rnacentral:tRNA from 1 species